GCUACAUUCAACAACUUGGAUCUGGCAACCCUGAACUUCCCACAACAACAGCAGCUGGCUGGUUGUUGCUCUCGUAUUCUGACCAGUUCCCCUCAUUAAUAUGAUGAUUAGCGAUGGAAAGAUGGACAUUUAAGCUACUUCUGCCCCACAACAGGACCUUGGGCUACUGCCACAGGACAAAUGCUGCAUGAAUGCUUGUGAAUUGGAAGAUUCUGGCCUACAUCAUUGCCAAACUCCUGAGGCCAGAACAAGAAUUACUCUUGUAGUGCCACCAUCUAGUGGCAUUAGAAUUGUGAGAAAUGCUGCAUUCAUGAUCAUGUCAGCAGUGUCAUGAAGUGCAUCACAUGUGUCAGAAAUACUGCAUACGUGUACAUGUCAGCAGUGUCAUGAAGUGCAUCACAGUGUCAGAUCUACUUCAUACAUGAUAUCAUUAGCAGUGCCAUAAUUUUCAUUACCGUGUCAGAAAACUACAUAUACAGUAUAAGGGUAAAACUUUGCUCGAGUUCAUUUCCACAUAGAGUAUUGACUAUUACAUGCACAGCCUCAGCAUCCUGUGGAUGGAUCCUUACUUGACUCCUUCAAAUAUUGUCGUGUGUUGCCUUAUCACCAAGUGUUAACACGUUCAUGUGAAGCACUGUUCAUGUAUUAUAAGCAUCUCAUGCACUGUGUCACCAUGGUAACAAAGGAAACAUGUAUUUAAAUACAAAUUUAGUGUAUUAUUGACAAUUCAUUGUGUUGCGGGACAGGCAACCAGUAUAUAUAUAAUUCAUAAUAUAAUAAUUCAUUGGGACAAGAAGCCAGAGUUCAUUCAUACACUUUUUGGUUUUUAUCUUUUAUAUUUGUUUUAUCAAAAAUUGUAUAUUCGUACAUGUAUCUACAAAAAAAUUUAUAUACUGUAUAUGGAUUCAAGUAAUUUGCUGUUGAAGUUCAUAGGGCUAUCCAAGUAAAAUAAUAUAUGUAAUAAGACAUCCCACAGUGCUAUAGUUAUAAUUAGCCAUCACUCAGUGUUGUUGAUAUAUUUAUAAGACAUCCCACAGUGCUGUGGUGAUAUUUAUAAUCAAGACAUCCCACAGUGCUGUGGUGAUAUUUAUAAUCAAGACAUCCCACAGUGCUGUGGAGAUAUUUAUAAUCAGGCAUCCCACAGUGCUGUAGAGAUAUUUAUAAUCAGGCAUCCCACAGUGCUGUAGAGAUAUUUAUAAUCAGGCAUCCCACAGUGCUGUAGAGAUAUUUAUAAUCAGGCAUCCCACAGUGCUGUGGAGAUAUUUAUAAUCAGACAUCCCACAGUGCUGCAGUUAUUUGUGUAAUAAGACAGACAGACAGGCAAUAUUUUAUAUUGCUGUAUAAUACAACAUACUUCAGUGAUUUAAACAAUAUAUAAAUUUUUUCUUUAGAAGUGAUUCAAAGGCAUAUGAUACAAUCUUGAAAAAUUUAAAAUAAAAAUCUUGCCACAGGAUUUGUUUUGACUUGUUUACAAAGUCAUGCACAGGCACUAAUUUUUAUGUUGUUGGCUGCAUGUUGAAGAGUGCAUUUAUAUGUAACUCAUUGGAUAUAUUUUACAGUAUAUCUUACGUCUAACAUAUUUUAUUAUAUGAAUUCAAUGUUUUCAUACUGUUCAGGAACCAGUAAGACCAGUGGUUUAUAUAUUGUCAAUUUUGCAAUAACUUUUACAUCUUAAUAAGAUAUUUAUUUGCUUUAUAUUGAUACCAAAGAGAAUGGUUAAUU
rnacentral:lncRNA from 1 species